rnacentral:rRNA from 1 species
ACAGCAGUCGCCACGGUAAUACGGAGGGUGCAAGCGUUAAUCGGAAUUACUGGGCGUAAAGCGCACGCAGGCGGUCUGACAAGUCAGAUGUGAAAUCCCCGGGCUUAACCUGGGAACUGCAUUUGAAACUGUCAGGCUGGAGUCUUGUAGAGGGGGGUGGAAUUCCAGGUGUAGCGGUGAAAUGCGUAGAGAUCUGGAGGAAUACCGGUGGCGAAGGCGGCCCCCUGGACAAAGACUGACGCUCAGGUGCGAAAGCGUGGGGAGCAAACAGGAUUAGAUACCCGCGUAGUCCCUGUCUCUUAUAA